GUCCUCGUAGUCAUCAGUGUUUGGUUAAAACUUGUAUCUGUUAUAUCAAGGGUCCCCAACCCCCAGUCUGUAGCCUGGUGCCGGUCUGUGGCCUGGGCUAGACCGGACAGCGGAGACAGAUCUCUCACCUCCCUGCACGCACUCCUGCCCCCGCACAGUCCCUUCUCGCAUAUGUGCGAGUGUGUGCAUGUGAGAGAGCACCCCCACCCCUUUGCUAGUGUGCACGAGUGGCCCUAAGUGCCCUUCGUGCAUGCAUGAGAGUGCAACCCUGCCCCCUUUCCUUUACACAUGCGCACGAGUGUGCAUGAGCACCCACUCCUUCGUGCAUGCGCGCGAACGCAGGCGGCAUGCCCCGCCUUCCCCAACCGGUCUGUGGAGUUAAAAAGGUUGGGGACCACUGUGUUAUAUAAUACCAGUCAAUGUUUUUAUAAUUUUGAUUGACUGUGCCUGGUGCUUUUGAAUAAUAAUUAUAAUUAUGUGCUCUCAAGUCAAUUCAGACUUAACGGCAACCCUUUUCUGGGUUUUCUAGAUGGAGAGUACUUAGAAAUGGUUUACCAUUCCCUUGUUCUGUGGGCCUCCUGAGACUCAGCAGUUUGCCCAAGUCCACACAGGCUGGCUCUUCAUGGAUGCACAGUGGAAUCAAACUCCCUAAUGAUACAGGGGCAGAAUCAGAUCCUCUUUGGACACUAAGCAGUUAUGAGGAAAUGUUAGGAAUCAUGAGUGAGUACCAAAGACAAAUUCAGUUUUGGUGUUGCUUCAACACUGCAGAAGAUGAUGAGAAUCUGAUUCAGACCACUCUUGAUAUUGUCCAGUUCACCGUGAAUCCAAAGGAGAGGCACACUUUGAAAAUCUGGGGCUCUGUGUGUCAUCCUGUUGAUGUUCAUGGGGAAAUUAAAACAUGGCUAUGCCUUACCUCACAGAAGACAUCUGAGAGCAUGUAUUAUCCUUCUGCAGGGAUGAACCUUCUGUAUUUCAGACAUAUAGUUGCAAUAUUGCAAUAGAUUUGGAGUUAUAGAUCAAUUAUAUUCAGAUAAUACUUCAGAAGUAAUAGUUCAUGAUAGUUUAACAGAGCGGAUUUUUCAACGCCAAGCUAGAAGACAAUGCUGUCCACUUUCACCAAUAUUGUUUUGUAUGAUUAUAGAAUUGCUAGCUAAUGCAAUAAGAAAUGAUGGAUUAGUUAAAGGAUUAGGGAAAAAAUGAUACAAUUAAGAUGAAUUUAUUUGCUGAUGAUUCAUUAUUAACUAUUAAAAACCUAUUAGAAAGUCUGGCUAAAAUUUAAAAUCAUUUAGAAAAAUUUGGGGAAAUAACAGGAUUAACUAUUAACUUGUAAAAAAAACAGAUAAUGAUGUUUAAUUACAAUAAAUAUGAACAAAAAUGUUUCUAAAUAAAUGUG
rnacentral:lncRNA from 1 species